rnacentral:rRNA from 1 species
AACCUGCCGUAUGCAGGGGGACAACAGUCAGAAAUGACUGCUAAUACCGCAUAAGCACACAAUGCUGCAUGGCAUGGUGUGAAAAGAUUUAUCGGCAUACGAUGGCCCCGCGUCUGAUUAGCCAGUUGGCAGGGUAAUGGCCUACCAAAGCAACGAUCAGUAGCCGGCUUGAGAGAGUGACCGGCCACAUUGGGACUGAGACACGGCCCAGACUCCUACGGAAGGCAGCAG